GUAGGGGGCAAGCGUUAUCCGGAUUUACUGGGUGUAAAGGGAGCGUAGACGGCAGAGCAAGUCUGAAGUGAAAGCCCGCGGCUCAACUGCGGAACGGCUUUGGAAACUGAGUAACUGGAGUGCUGGAGGGGCAGGCGGAAUUCCUGGUGUAGCGGUGAAAUGCGUAGAUAUCAGGAGGAACACCGGUGGCGAAGGCGGCCUGCUGGACAGUAACUGACGUUGAGGCUCGAAAGCGUGGGGAGCAA
rnacentral:rRNA from 1 species